AGUGAACGCUGGCGGUAGGCCUAACACAUGCAAGUCGAACGGCAGCACAGUAAGAGCUUGCUCUUACGGGUGGCGAGUGGCGGACGGGUGAGGAAUACAUCGGAAUCUACUUUUUCGUGGGGGAUAACGUAGGGAAACUUACGCUAAUACCGUAUACGACCUACGGGUGAAAGCAGGGGAUCUUCGGACCUUGCGCGAUUGAAUGAGCCGAUGUCGGAUUAGCUAGUUGGCGGGGUAAAGGCCCACCAAGGCGACGAUCCGUAGCUGGUCUGAGAGGAUGAUCAGCCACACUGGAACUGAGACACGGUCCAGACUCCUACGGGAGGCAGCAGUGGGGAAUAUUGGACAAUGGGCGCAAGCCUGAUCCAGCCAUACCGCGCGGGUGAAGAAGGCCUUCGGGUUGUAAAGCCCUUUUGUUGGGAAAGAAAAGCAGCAGGUUAAUACCCCGCUGUUCUGACGGUACCCAAAGAAUAAGCACCGGCUAACUUCGUG
rnacentral:rRNA from 1 species